rnacentral:rRNA from 1 species
AUACGUAGGGGACGAGCGUUGUCCGGAAUUACUGGGCGUAAAGGGCGCGCAGGCGGAUAUUUAAGUCAGCUGUAAAAGGCAUGAGCUCAACUCAUGUAUGCGGUUGAAACUGGGUAUCUAGAGUGCUGGAGAGGUAGGCGGAAUUCCCGGGGUAGCGGUGAAAUGCGUAGAUAUCGGGAAGAACACCAGUGGCGAAGGCGGCUUACUGGCCAGCAACUGACGCUGAGGCGCGAAAGCCAGGGGAGCGAACGGGAUUAGAUACCCCGGUAGUCCUGGCCGUAAACGAUGAAUGCUAGGUGUGGGUGUCGAGAGGCAUCCGUGCCGGAGUUAACGCGAUAAGCAUUCCGCCUGGGGAGUACGAUCGCAAGAUUGAAACUCAAAUGAAUUGACGGGG